rnacentral:rRNA from 1 species
UACGUAGGGGGCAAGCGUUGUCCGGAUUUAUUGGGCGUAAAGAGCUCGUAGGCGGUUUGGUAAGUCGGGUGUGAAAUCUCCACGCUCAACGUGGAGGGGCCACUCGAUACUGCCAUGACUCGAGUCCGGUAGAGGAGUGUGGAAUUCCCGGUGUAGCGGUGAAAUGCGCAGAUAUCGGGAGGAACACCCGUAGCGAAGGCGGGUCUCUGGGCAGUAACUGACGCUGAGGAGCGAAAGCGUGGGGAGCGAACAGG